GGCAGCAGUGAGGAAUAUUGGACAAUGGGUGAGAGCCUGAUCCAGCCCUUCCCGCGUGAAGGACGACGGCCCCAUUGGGUUGUAAACUUCUUUUGUAUAGGGAUAAACCAUCCCUCGUGAGGGUAGCUGAAGGUACAUUACGAAUAAGCACCGGCUAANUCCGUGCCAGCAGCCGCGGUAAUACGGAGGGUGCAAGCGCAUUCCGGAUUUAUUGGGUUUAAAGGGUCCGUAGGCGGAUCUGUAAGUCAGUGGUGAAAUCUCACAGCUUAACUGUGAAACUGCCAUUGAUACUGCAGGUCUUGAGUGUUGUUGAAGUAGCUGGAAUAAGUAGUGUAGCGGUGAAAUGCAUAGAUACAUCUUAGAACACCAAUUGCGAAGGCAGGUUACUAAGCAACAACUGACGCUGAUGGACGAAAGCGUGGGGAGCGAACAGGACAUGAUACCCUGGUAGUCCACGCCGUAAACGAUGCUAACUCGUUUUUGGAGCGCAAGCUUCAGAGACAUAGCGAAAGUGAUAAGCAUGCCACCUGGGGAGUACGAACGCAAGUUUGAAACCAUAAGGAAUUGACGGGGGCCCGCACAAGCGGUGGACAUUGUGGUCAUAUUCGAUGAUACGCGAGGAACCUUACCAAGGCUUAAAUGGGAAAUGACAGGUUUAGAAAUAGACUUUUCUUCGGACAUUUUCAUAGGUGCUGCAUGGUUGUCGUCAGCUCGUGCCGUGAGGUGCAUGGUUAAGUCCUGCAACGAGCGCAACCCCUGCAUCAUGUUGCCAUCAUUAAGUUGGGGACUCAUGUGAGACUGCCUACGCAAGUAGAGAGGAAGGUGGGGAUGACGCAUAAUCAUCACGGCCCUUACGCCUUGGGCCACACACGUAAUACAAUGGCCGGUACAGAGGGCAGCUACACUGCGAAGUGAUGCAAAUCUCGAAAGCCGGUCCAUGUUCGGAUUGGAGUCUGCAACUCGACUCAUUGAAGCUGGAAUCGCUAGUAAUCGCGCAUCAGCCAUGGCGCGGUGAAUACGUUCCCGGGCCUUGUACACACCGCCCGUCAAGCCAUGGAAGUCUGGGGUACCCGAAG
rnacentral:rRNA from 1 species